rnacentral:rRNA from 1 species
UACGUAGGGGGCAAGCGUUGUCCGGAAUUAUUGGGCGUAAAGCGCGCGCAGGCGGUCGUUUAAGUCUGAUGUGAAAGCCCACGGCUCAACCGUGGAGGGUCAUUGGAAACUGGGGGACUUGAGUGCAGGAGAGAAGAGUGGAAUUCCACGUGUAGCGGUGAAAUGCGUAGAGAUGUGGAGGAACACCAGUGGCGAAGGCGACUCUUUGGCCUGUAACUGACGCUGAGGCGCGAAAGCGUGGGGAGCAAACAGG